rnacentral:rRNA from 1 species
AUUGAACGCUGGCGGCAGGCCUAACACAUGCAAGUCGAGCGAGUGGGGACGGGUGAGUAACUCGUGGGUAACCUCCCAUCAGAGGGGAUACCACUUGGAAACAGGUGCUAAACCGAUACUGAUGGAUGAACCCGCGGUGCAUUAGCUAGUUGGUGAGGUAACGGCUCACCAAGGCCACGAUGCAUAGCCGACCUGAGAGGAUGAUCGGCCACACUGGACAUGAGACACGGCCCAGACUCCGACGGGAGGCAGCAGUAGGGAAGCUUCGGCAAUGGGCGAAAGUCUGAUCGAGCAACGCCGCGUGAGUGAAGAAGGUUUUCGGAUCGUAAAACUCUGUUGUUAGAGAAGCGGUAUCUAACCAGAAAGCCACGGCUAACUACGUGCCAGCAGCCGCGGUAAUAC